GAUGUUUAUCCUCAUAUAACAUUAAUCGUUAGCGUUUUGACAUCAAUUACUCCCAUAAAAGAAAACCCAUUUUGAGUAAAAUAAAUAGCACUCCAAUUGACAAAUUUAUUGUAUCUUUUAUCAAAUGAAAAAAUUGAUUUGCUCCCUUAUCAUCAGCAAUAAGUACUUAAGUGAUAAAACUGAUAGAGCAGGACACUUAUUGUUCAGUCAAAAACAGUGUGGUCAGAGGUAUUGUUGAUAGUAAACGAUAGAUAUAAAGCAUCAGUAUGGUGUUCCCAAAAUUUCAUUUUUUCUUGCUUUCUAUGCUGAUUUUGCUAUUGGUAUUGUGCACCUCCGUUUUGGGCGCAUCUGAUAGCGGUGUUUCUGGUGUUGGACAUAUCAUUGAUGCAGGUUGCAGAGAAGGAUAUGUAAAAAUUAAUGGAAUAUGUGUCGAGGAUCUAUAGGACUCUCACUUAUUAUGGAAUUUCUUCAUUGGCUGGCAACCCAAAUUUCGAGAUGACUCACCAAACCUACAUUUGAACUUCAUAUAAAACCUGGCUUUUAUGUUUAUCAGCUUGGUGGUAGCUGUCCGUUGAAAGAAGAAAUUGUUUCUGCAGGAUAUUUUAUAAUUCAUAACCAAAAAGGAAAUAUAAUGCACCUUUUAGUAAUCACGUUUUAUUUUAAAUAUCAUAUGUAGCAAAGCACAUUAAUAAAACCAUAUUGCAUUGAUACACUGAUUGGUAAAAAAGCUCCUAACUCAUCCUUAACCCUAAUCAAUGCUUUAAUGAUGAUGAAAUGUCAUUUUAUGGAAUGAUGAAGUGCAGAAUUAACGUUCACUAAUAACAUCAGAAUGGAUUUUCAAUUAAAGAAUAAAUUACCUAUCCGCUAGGCAAACAUGAAAAUAUCAUCAUCAUUUGAACAUAAACUGAUAUCAUUGUCGCUAAGUACUUAUAUCUAUUCGAAAUUCGAGAAAAAGAUAAAACAAUAUGUUGUCAAAUCGAAAUAAACUAUAAAUUUCGUAACAAAGAAUCGGAGGAAGUGAUCAGAAUAGAUUUUGAGAAUAUCAGAAGUUUGAACAUCGAUUUUUUUUUUGAGAUAGAAAAAGUAAUCGUCAGAAAUUCUCUUCCCCACGAAAGUAUCACAUAUCAUUACAACAUUGUACGAAGAGAAUCGUCUCCUUAUGACCUAAAUCUCCUUCCAUUCUGAAAUGAGACAAAGGAAUGUGAGGGCUUUGAUGAAAAUUUGACAUCCAAAUCUUGGUGAAUUACUUACGAUGAAUAAUGUUGACAUGCAGAUGCAAUUCAUGGAACAUAACAGAUUAAAAAGCCAAUAUUAGCCAAACUACUGAAGGUGCUCAAUGAAUAAAAGAUACAUUGAUGGGGGUUACAAUGAAGCACACAAUGUGAGGAAAUGUAAGCAUGUUAUCAACUCCAUGAGAAAUUUGAAAACAUGAAGGGUACAAGUCAAAAAAUAAAAAAGAAAAUUUUAUGGAUUUAUUUUUAACAAACAUAAUUCAACACAAUUUGUUAAUUAUACAUUGAAUAUACAAUAUAUUUUACGUCAUCUGUCGACAAACUACUCGAAUUAUGUAUAAAAUAAUUUUUUUUGAAAUGCAUAAUUAUAAAAUUGCACGAAA